rnacentral:rRNA from 1 species
CCCUACUGCUAUCGGGGUGGGACUAAGACAUGCGAGUCGAGCGUCUCCAGCUAUGGUGAGACGCGGCAGACGGCUCAGUAACACGUGGCUAACCUACCCUCAGGACAGGGACAAACCCGGGAAACUGGGGCUAAUACCCGAUAGGCGAGGGCGCCUGUAAUGGUUCUUCACCCAAAGGGCUUUGGAAGCAUGCUUUUCAAAGUCGCCUGGGGAUGGGGCCGCGUCCGAUCAGGUUGUUGGUGAGGUAACGGCUCACCAAGCCUAUAACCGGUACGGGCCGUGAGAGCGGUAGCCCGGAGAUGGGCACUGAGACAAGGGCCCAGGCCCUACGGGGCGCAGCAGUCGCGAAAACUCCGCAAUGCACGAAAGUGUGACGGGGCUACCCCGAGUGCCGUCCGCUGAGGAUGGCUUUUCCUCGGUGUAACUAGCCGGGGAAUAAGGAGAGGGCAAGACUGGUGUCAGCCGCCGCGGUAAUACCAGCUCUCCGAGUGGUAGGGAUGAUUAUUGGGCUUAAAGCGUCCGUAGCCGGCUUAGCAAGUCUCCUGUUAAAUUCAGCGACCUAAUCGUUGAGCCGCGGGAGAUACUACUAAGCUAGGAGGCGGGAGAGGCCGACGGUACUUCCGGGGUAGGGGUGAAAUCCUAUAAUCCCGGGAGGACCACCAGUGGCGAAGGCUGUCGGCUAGAACGCGCUCGACGGUGAGGGACGAAAGCUGAGGGAGCGAACCGGAUUAGAUACCCGGGUAGUCCCAGCCGUAAACGAUGCGGGCUAGGUGUUGGGGUGGCUACGUGCCACUUCAGUGCCGCAGGGAAGCCAUUAAGCCCGCCGCCUGGGGAGUACGGCCGCAAGGCUGAAACUUAAAGGAAUUGGCGGGGGAGCACCACAAGGCGUGAAGCUUGCGGUUC